AUUAGGGAGUUUACGAUCUACGACGCGGCCGGCUCGACGACGCGCUUUCAAAACAAAGAAAUUUGGUGUUUCCACAAACAAUAGUAUUAUGUGUUUUAUCGCCAUGCAAACCUACAAAGAACUUACAAAGAAAUUUGUCAUGCAAGACAAAAACUGUCAAUAAUUUGUGGUCCCAUGACUCCAUCAGUAUUGUCAACCGCGUUGUCAUUCUCAACACAACGUUAAAAAAGCAUUAUUACGUCUUUCAGGCAACGCGAAAGCCUAAUGCUACACAAGAGGUGUUACUAAAAGUUGAAAUUACAGCAAACAUUGCAUCGCAUUAGCCGAACGUAGCAUUUUGUAAGGUUAUUUGAAAGAGUCAAAUAUUUAUUACAGUAAUCGAAUUGCUUAGCGCUCAUUCUUGAGCUAAAAUUUAGACUGCGUCGUUGAGCCGGCCGCGUCGUAGAUCGUAAACGAAAGAAGAAAGAAAGCGACACCGUUCGAUUCAGCGUAAGAAAUUGUACUUACGGAUG